rnacentral:rRNA from 1 species
AGAAUCAACGCUGGCGGCGUGCCUAACGACGAUGCAAGUCGAACGAGAAAGUGGAGCAAUCCAUGAGUAAAGUGGCGCACGGGUGAGUAACACGUGACUAACCUACCCUCGAGUGGGGAAUAACUUCGGGAAACCGAGGCUAAUACCGCAUAAAACCUAAGGGUCAAAGGAGCAAUCCGUUUGAGGAGGGGGUCGCGGCAGAUUAGUUAGUUGGCGGGGUAAUGGCCCACCAAGACGAUGAUCUGUAUCCGGCCUGAGAGGGCGCACGGACACACUGGAACUGAAACACGGUCCAGACUCCUACGGGAGGCAGCAGUGGGGAAUUUUGCGCAAUGGGGGAAACCCUGACGCAGCAACGCCGCGUGGAGGAUGAAAUCCCUUGGGAUGUAAACUCCUUUCGAUCGGGAAGAUAAUGACGGUACCGGAAGAAGAAGCCCGGCUAACUUCGCGCCAGCAGCCGC